rnacentral:rRNA from 1 species
AUUGAACGCUAGCGGGAUGCUUUACACAUGCAAGUCGAACGCGUGGCGGACGGGUGAAUAAUAUAUCGAAACUUGCCCAGUAGCUGGGGAUAACUACUCGAAAGAGUGGCUAAUCCCUCAUACUAUUGGAGCGUCCGUUAUCGGAUUAGCUAGUUGGUUGGGUAAAGGCUCACCACGGCAACGAUCCGUAGCUGGUGUGAGAGGACGACCAGCCACACUGGGACUGAGACACGGCCCAGACUCCUACGGGAGGCAGCAGUGGGGAAUUUUGGACAAUGGGGGAAACCCUGAUCCAGCAAUCCCGCGUGUAUGAGAAGGCCUUCGGGUUGUAAAGUACUUUUGGCAGAGAAGCGGUAUCUGCAGAAUAAGCACCGGCUAACUACGUGCCAGCAGCCGCGGUAAUAC